CUACGGGUCGCUGCAGUGGGGAAUUUUGGACAAUGGGCGCAAGCCUGAUCCAGCAAUGCCGCGUGCAGGAUGAAGGCCUUCGGGUUGUAAACUGCUUUUGUACGGAACGAAACGGUGAGCUUUAAUACAGUUUGCUAAUGACGGUACCGUAAGAAUAAGCACCGGCUAACUACGUGCCAGCAGCCGCGGUAAUACGUAGGGUGCAAGCGUUAAUCGGAAUUACUGGGCGUAAAGCGUGCGCAGGCGGUUAUAUAAGACAGAUGUGAAAUCCCCGGGCUCAACCUGGGACCUGCAUUUGUGACUGUAUGGCUGGAGUACGGUAGAGGGGGAUGGAAUUCCGCGUGUAGCAGUGAAAUGCGUAGAUAUGCGGAGGAACACCGAUGGCGAAGGCAAUCCCCUGGACCUGUACUGACGCUCAUGCACGAAAGCGUGGGGAGCAAACAGGAUUAGAUACCCCCGUAGUC
rnacentral:rRNA from 1 species